UACGGGGGGGGCAAGCGUUGUUCGGAAUUACUGGGCGUAAAGGGCUCGUAGGUGGCCAACUAAGUCGGACGUGAAAUCCCUCGGCUUAACCGGGGAACUGCGUCUGAUACUGGAUGGCUUGAGUUCGGGAGAGGGAUGCGGAAUUCCAGGUGUAGCGGUGAAAUGCGUAGAUAUCUGGAGGAACACCGGUGGCGAAGGCGGCAUCCUGGACCGACACUGACGCUGAGGAGCGAAAAGCCAGGGGAGCAAACGGGG
rnacentral:rRNA from 1 species